GAGUUUGGAUCCUGGCUCAGGGUUAACGCUGGCGGCGCGCAUAACACAUGCAAGUCGAGCGAGGGCUUAUCUCCCGCAAGGGAGGUGAGUUCCUAGCGGCGAACGGGUGAGUAACACGUGGGCAACCUUUCCUAUCGCGGGGGAUAACACCGGGAAACCGAUGCUAAUACCGCAUGUCGUCACUGGUCGCAUGGCUGGUGAAGAAAGCAGCAAUGCACGAUGGGGUGGGCCCGCGGCCUAUCAGCUAGUCGGUGGGGUAACGGCCUACCGAGGCGAUGACGGGUAGCUGGUCUGAGAGGACGGCCAGCCACACGGGGACUGAGACACGGCCCCGACUCCUACGGGAGGCAGCAGUGAGGAAUCUUCCGCAAUGGGCGAAAGCCUGACGGAGCGACGCCGCGUGUGGGAUGAAGUCUUUCGGGAUGUAAACCACUGUCGGAGGGGAAGACAUCGACGGUACCCUCCAAGAAAGCCCCGGCUAACUACGUGCCAGCAGCCGCGGUAAUACGUAGGGGGCAAGCGUUAUCCAGAUUUACUGGGCGUAAAGCGCGUGUAGGCGGCUGGUUAGGUGUGAUGUGAAAUCUUCCGGCUCAACCGGAAAACUGCAUUGCAAACCGGCCUGGCUAGAGU
rnacentral:rRNA from 1 species